rnacentral:snRNA from 1 species
AGCUUUGCACAGUAGCAGUACUGUAUCCAUUGAGGUUUAUCCGAGGUGCGAUUAUUGCUAAUUGAAAACUUCUCCCAAUACUCGGCCAUGACGACUUUAAAUAUAGUUGGGGGGAAAAAAUCUAGAGAAACCUCCAGACAGCAGAGG